UACAGAGGUGGCAAGCGUUGUUCGGAAUUACUGGGCGUAAAGGGCGCGUAGGUGGCUAUCUAAGUCAGACGUGAAAUCCCCCGGCUUAACCUGGGAACUGCGUCUGAUACUGGACGGCUUGAGUAUGGGAGAGGAACGUAGAAUUCCAGGUGUAGCGGUGAAAUGCGUAGAUAUCUGGAGGAACACCGGUGGCGAAGGCGGCAUCCUGGACCAACACUGACACUGAGGAGCGAAAGCCAGGGGAGCAAACAGG
rnacentral:rRNA from 1 species